CUCAUGGAGAGUUUGAUCCUAGCUCAGGAUGAAUGCUAGAGGCAUGCUUAACACAUGCAAGUCAGAUGGGAAGUGGUGUUUCUAGUGGCGGACGGGUGAGUAACGCGUAAGAACCUACCCUUGGGAGGGGAACAACAGCUGGAAAUGGCUACUAAUACCCCAUAGGCUGAGGAGAAAAAGGAGGAAUCCGCCCAAGGAGGGGCUUGCAUCUGAUUAGUUAGUUGGUGAGGUAAUGACUUACCAAGGCGACGAUCAAACUCAAAGGAAUUGACGGGGGCCCGCACAAGCGGUGGAGCAUGUGGUUCAAUUCGAUGCAAAGCGAAGAACCUUACCAGGGCUUGACAUGUCGUGAAUCCUCCCGAAAGAGAGGAGUACCUUUGGGAGAACGGACACAGGUGGUGCAUGGUUGUCAUCAGCUCAUGCCGUAAGGUGUUGGGUUAAGUCCCGCAAUGAGUGCAACCCUCAUGUUUAGUUGCCAGCAUUGAGUUUGGAACCCUGAACAGACUGCCGGUGAUAAGCCGGAGGAAGGUGAGGAUGACGUCAAGUCAUCAUGCCUCUUACGCCCUAGGUGACACACGUGCUACAAUUACUGGGACAAAGGGUCACAACCAUGUGAGGGCAAGCUAACCUCAAAAAAUUGGCCUCAGUUCAGAUUGCAAGCUGCAACUCGCCUGCAUGAAGCCGGAAUCGCUAGUAAUCGUCGGUCAACCAUACGGCGGUGAAUCCGUUCCCAGACCUUGUACACACCGCCCGUCACACUAUGGGAGCUGGCCAUGCCCCAAGUCAUUACCUUAACCACAAGGAGGAGGAUGUCGAAGGAUGGGCUAGUGACUGGAGUGAAUUCGUAACAAGGUAGCCGUACUGGAAGGUGCGGCUGGAUCACCUCCUUU
rfam:Picea glauca, whole genome shotgun sequence.